UGCUCGCACGCGAGUCACGGACCAAUCAAGGUUCACGGCGAAACAAAUGUGAUACGCGUACUCUUCAUUGAGAACCGUAUGGGUUGAUCCAGAGAGCUUUGUUUUCUCAGGCGCAAACCCGGGGUCCGUUAAGCUGGGUGCAACGCUGACACACGUCCACCAUUGGUUGCGUGUGCGGCAUGCAUCGGGCGGCGGGCACCUUGAGCGUGUGGGUAAGUACCCGAAAGAUGGUGAUCUAUGCGUGGCCAGGGUGAAGCCAGAGGAAACUCUGGUGGAGGCCCGAAGCGAUUCUGACGUGCAAAUCGAUCGUCUGAGCUGCGUAUAGGGGCGAAAGACCAAUCGAACCAUCUAGUAGCUGGUUCCCUCCGAAGUUUCCCUCAGGAUAGCUGGCGCCUUUGGAGGAGUUUCAUCUGGUAAAGAGAAUGAUUAGGGGUCGUGGGGAUGAAAGAUCCUCAGCCCAUUCUCAAACUCUAAAUGGGUGAGAAGCCGGACUUGCUUGAUUGAAGUCACGGAUAUCGAAUCCAGGUGCCUAGUGGGCCUGUUUUGGUAAGCAGAACUGGCGAUGUGGGAUGAACCAAACGUCGAGCUAAGGGGCCUAAGUGUUGGCUCAUCGGAUAACGUUAAAGGUGUCAGUCGCUACAGACAGCAGGACGGUGGCCAUGGAAGUUGCC
rnacentral:rRNA from 1 species